rnacentral:rRNA from 1 species
CCUACGGGUGGCAGCAGUGGGGAAUAUUGGACAAUGGGGGCAACCCUGAUCCAGCCAUGCCGCGUGUGUGAAGAAGGCCCUCGGGUUGUAAAGCACUUUCAGUGAGGAAGAACGCCUGGUGGUUAAUACCCAUCAGGAAAGACAUCACUCACAGAAGAAGCACCGGCUAACUCCGUGCCAGUAGCCGCGGUAAUACGGAGGGUGCGAGCGUUAAUCGGAAUUACUGGGCGUAAAGCGCGCGUAGGUGGCUUGAUAAGCCGGUUGUGAAAGCCCCGGGCUCAACCUGGGAACGGCAUCCGGAACUGUCAAGCUAGAGUGCAGGAGAGGAAGGUAGAAUUCCCGGUGUAGCGGUGAAAUGCGUAGAGAUCGGGAGGAAUACCAGUGGCGAAGGCGGCCUUCUGGACUGACACUGACACUGAGGUGCGAAAGCGUGGGUAGCAAACAGGAUUAGAUACCCUGGUAGUC